rnacentral:rRNA from 1 species
UGGAGCUUUACUGUAGCUUGACAUUGGGUCUUGGUACUACAUGUACAGGAUAGGUGGGAGGCUUUGAAACCAGGACGCCAGUUUUGGCGGAGCCAUCCUUGGGAUACCACCCUUGUAGUACUGGGACGCUAACCAUAGGCCAUGAAUCUGGUCUUGGGACACUGUCAGGUGGGCAGUUUGACUGGGGCGGUCGCCUCCCAAAAGGUAACGGAGGCGC